AUGGCCCAGAAGCACUCUAGCUACAGAUUAGAAUGAUGACAAGAGUAAUACCUUCCUAGUGAAGAUGACUUUUAUUUCAGGACUAUAUUAAGUUUCCCAACUUCUGUCAUGAUAUAGUCCAAAGAGAACCUGGACCACGCAGACAUCAAACAGAACAUGACACUGACCCAUUCUAUCAGUGACGUUGUGCUGAUUGCACAGGACAGAUGAGAGGCUCGUAUACUAGAAGUCUUGUUUCACAUGUCCACAGAUGAAGAAAAAUUGUGCCCCAGCAAGGAUUAUACCCAGAGCCUCAUCCAUUCAUACCUGAUUUAGAUACUUAGAUGAUGAGUAAUAGAAAAGCAUCAUCUUUAUGUAAAUCACUGUACUUGGCUUCGUGAGAAAUAUAAAAAUGAAUUGCUUCAAUCCCUGGACUCAAGGAUCCUGUGUUACCAAGUCAUAUGAUACUUCAAAAUCUGUGAUUCCAUGAAGCCAAGAGUAGCUCUUCAACAGGAAAUGAAUGAGUGCUUCAGCUUCUGAUCCCAUUAGUAAGAAAAUACAGUCUUAUGAGCAAUGAUGGAGCUGCAUCUCUUAGGGGCAUUUGAUUCCCAAGAGACCAAAGAGCAAAGAGAAUGUCAAUUUAAAAAAAUCAAAUGUUUCCAUGACUUAGCUAUUUAACUGCUUUAAAAUGAAUGAAUGCUGCUUCAAGUUCUUUCAAAUACCCCACAUCUUGGCAACAACGAAAGGAAUUAACAUGAAGAAAAUUUACAAUCUUUCAUCACAUCGAACAAUGUCCCACAUUUGAAAAGUUCACAGCACAGAUUUCUGGUUACUGAAAGAAAGGAAAGACCUUCUUUGGAUUUGAAUAAACAGAUGGACUUUC
rnacentral:lncRNA from 1 species